GUGAGUCAUCGAAUCUUUGAACGCACAUUGCGCCCCCUGGUAUUCCGGGGGGCAUGCCUGUUCGAGCGUCAUUUCACCACUCAAGCCUCGCUUGGUAUUGGGCAACGCGGUCCGCCGCGUGCCUCAAAUCGACCGGCUGGGUCUUCUGUCCCCUAAGCGUUGUGGAAACUAUUCGCUAAAGGGUGCUCGGGAGGCUACGCCGUAAAACAAACCCAUUUCUAAGGUUGACCUCGGAUCAGGUAGGGAUACCCGCUGAACUUAAGCAUAUCAAUAAGCGGAGGA
rnacentral:misc_RNA from 1 species